AGACGUACGAAAGAAGUCUCAUAAGAAAUCUUAGAGUCACUCAGCGCGUGAUGGAUAGAGCUAUGCUAUGAGGAG